GCCAUGUCCGUCUGGUCGGCGACAUUUUCCGAAUGACGGUGCGGCUGCAGCGGCCGGCGAUCGUCCGCCGUCGCCGCCACCUGCUGCUGCUGCAGUUGCUGUUGUUGUUGAAGUCCGAGUUGUUGUUGUUGUUGUUGAUCGUCUUCCGAGUAACCCGACAACGACGGCUGAGCGCGUCGUCCGUCUUCGGUCACCGACAUACUAUGUAUUAUAUUUUAUUUAUCAAAAAAAACCGAUUUUUCUUAUCGUUCGACGUUGUGUUAUUAUUAUUUUUUUAAUUUUUCAAAAUAAAAACACACGACAUACCCACGUACGGAAAUUGCCGACUACGACCGACGACGGUUCAUCAAUCGACGAUCGCCAUAAUUUUUUGAUAAUACUACAAUAGUGGUAACAAUAGUGUAUUCAUUUACUAUCCGUUUCCAUUGCUAUGUUUUCUUUUUUUUUUUUCCACUCGUUACCGUCUACCCGAGUUAUCACUUGCGCGAGCUCACCAGCGACUAGAUUAGUGUUUUAUCGACUAUAGAAAAAAAAAUAAUGUAUAAUAAUACAAUCCGACCGGAAGUCUAACCAGAGACAGCAGGUACGUCGGCAAUUUGUGAUAACCGCAAAAACAAAUGGCCGCCACCGUUUUGUAAACACUGAUAACGUCAGCUGCUGUUGUUGCCCACUCGGCGUAUACAGUGUGGCCACAUGUACUACAUCAGAAUAAAAUAUGCGUCGCAUUUAAUUUGUCACUGCGUGCACUGUAAUCGCAAAAAGUCCACCGCUACUUCAAAACACUUGACAUUUCAGCUGUACACUUUUAAAGUUAAUACUUGAAUUAUUUUUUUUAUUUUUAAUAACGACAAAACAAUUUACAAGUCAGUUUUAAAAUAAAAUUAAUUAAAACGAAUUUUAUACCAGAGUUGAAAUUUUAAUAUUGCCGUUCUUGCCAAUCGAGUUGAAAACUAAGUAUAGUUUAACGCUACUAAAAAAUACCCAAGACUUGGUGAACUCGUCGACAUAAUGCUAUGCUUAAAUGUUAAGUGUAAAACCGGCUGAGAAUAGCCAUGGGUGAAGUUGAGACAGUUAUGACACCCUUCAUAAGUAUAUUUAAAAAUUAACACAAAAUUAGAAGACUUGUAAGUUUAUUGACAAGAAAAACAAAUAUCGAAAGCAAAAAUAAGCUGUAGUUAAUUCAGUCGUAAUUUAUAAAAAGUAAACAAAACAUUAAAAAAAAUCACAUAAUCCAGUAAAAACUAUUGUAUAUAAAUUGUGCACAUAUUUUGUUAAAAUCAAUUUAUUAGUCAAUUAUGUCGUUGUCAAUUUUUUUAAUACAAAUCUAACCGAUUUCAAAUAUUAGCAGUAUUAUUGAAAACAGAAUUGGAAAGGAAGCAAUUCAUUGACACUAGUCACAAACACAUUCGGGCCUUCUGGUUGAUACAAUAAAACUGUUAUGUCAGAUUCGGGCGUGACAAAUUCGCUUAAGAACUGUCGACAUCCGCCGCACGGCGGCACGAAAUGGUUAUUGUUCACACCGGACACGACAAUCGAGGUGAACGAUUGUUUUCCUUCACUCACGGCUUUCACCAUGGCCGUGCGUUCUGCACAUAUUCCCAAGCCGUACGAUACAUUUUCGACGUUACAUCCAGUAAAUAUAGUGCCGUCAUCGCAUCUCAAUGCCGCUCCGACUUUGAAUUUACUGUAAGGGCAAUACGCUUUUUCUCUAGCCGAUACGCUUGCUUCUACUAACAACUGAUCUUCGGUACCUGUAGAAUAAAAAAAACAAUUAUAACCAACUGUUUAACAAUUGAAAUUAUUGAAUUUUUAAUCUAUUAUUUUGACCAACAACUGGUCCAUUAAAUGUUGUAUACACGUCUAGUGCAACCCAACAUUAGAAUUAGAAUUUAAAAUAGAAGAUCAAUGGUCAGACAAUAAUGGUCAACGGUAGUUUUUCGAAUAAUCAAUUGAUACAUUUAGUUUGACACUAGUUCGGAAAGCUUCGGAUUGUUUGUAGCGAAUCGUUUUUGAAAUUAAUAGCCGUAGUAGGUGCCGCAGUGUAAUACGACGACAACUAUAACUAUGGAAAUGUGUUGAAAAUACAAAAUAUUUCUACGAAACAAAUAAAACUAUCAUAAACAAAACAAAAUUACUUAAUUCAUUGAGCGGCACAAUAUGCAAGUCUUUUGUAGUGAUUUCCAUUUUUUUUUUUUUUUUUUAACACUAACUUUGAGAUGGAAUAAUAUAUAAGUAACAAAAAAAAAAAAACGAACACUCGGUAUGUAUGUGUACACUCUUAUUUCUAGAUUAUUUACUAUAACUUAAUACGACUUAAUUAAUUACACUACUUAAGAAACUAUUAAACGUGUAAUGUUACAUCCGUUUAUAGAUGUUAUCUACACCUCAUUAGCUGUAUGAUUGAACCACACUACCGUUAAACUAAUCAUCAUUAUUUAGUAGUUAUAAUAUAAUAAUAGUACUAAUAAUUAUAAAUUAAAAAACGACCCGUACUUAUCUAAUUUCUGUUUAAAGUCUUUUCGUGAUUCGUUUGACCCUUUUGUUGUGCAUAUAAUAAUAAUAUUGUAUUCCUGCUUUGCCUUGUUGUCUGUUUUGCACUGAAA